AAGGAGAAGUCGUAACAAGGUUUCCGUAGGUGAACCUGGCGGAAGGAUCAUGUUCGAAACCUGCCUAGCAGAGCUCGGCCUAUGCCUCGACCACCUCCCCUCCACGGAGUGGGUGGGGGCUCGAGGCAAAAGAACCCACGGCGCCGAAGGCGUCAAGGAACACUGUGCCUAACACGGGGCCAUGGCUAGCUUGCUAGCUGUGACUCGUGUUGCAAAGCUAUUUAAUCCACACGACUCUCGGCAACGGAUAUCUCGGCUCUCGCAUCGAUGAAGAACGUAGCGAAAUGCGAUACCUGGUGUGAAUUGCAGAAUCCCGCGAACCAUCGAGUCUUUGAACGCAAGUUGCGCCCGAGGCCACUCGGCCGAGGGCACGCCUGCCUGGGCGUCACGCCAAAACACGCUCCCACACCCCUCAUUGGGAAUCGGGAUGCGGCAUCUGGUCCCUCGUCUCGCAAGGGGCGGUGGACCGAAGUUCGGGCUGCCGGCGUACCGUGUCAAACACAGCGCGUGGUGGGCGUCUUUGCUUUAUCAACGCAGUGCAUACGACGCGUAGCCGGCAUGAUGGCCUCAAAACGACCCAACAAACGUAGCGCACGUCGCUUCGACCGCGACCCCACGUCAGGCGGGACUACCCGCUGAG
rnacentral:rRNA from 1 species